GACGAACGCUGGCGGCGUGCUUAACACAUGCAAGUCGAACGGAAAGGCCCUGCUUUUGUGGGGUGCUCGAGUGGCGAACGGGUGAGUAACACGUGAGUAACCUGCCCUUGACUUUGGGAUAACUUCAGGAAACUGGGGCUAAUACCGGAUAGGAGCUCCUGCUGCAUGGUGGGGGUUGGAAAGUUUCGGCGGUUGGGGAUGGACUCGCGGCUUAUCAGCUUGUUGGUGGGGUAGUGGCUUAUCAAGGCUUUGACGGGUAGCCGGCCUGAGAGGGUGACCGGCCACAUUGGGACUGAGAUACGGCUCAGACUCCUACGGGAGGCAGCAGUGGGGAAUAUUGCACAAUGGGCGGAAGCCUGAUGCAGCAACGCCGCGUGCGGGAUGACGGCCUUCGGGUUGUAAACCGCUUUCGCCUGUGACGAAGCGUGAGUGACGGUAAUGGGUAAAGAAGCACCGGCUAACUACGUG
rnacentral:rRNA from 1 species